CCCUUAGAUGUUCUGGGCCGCACGCGUGCUACACUGAGUGGAUCAGCGGGUCAGGUUGCGCGAAAGCGUUUCCUAAUCUUUAAAUCCGCUCGUGAUGGGGAUUGACGGUUGCAAUUUUCUGUCAUGAACGAGGAAUACCUUGUAAGCGCGGGUCAUCAUCCCGCGCUGAAUACGUCCCUGCCCUUUGUACACACCGCCCGUCGCUCCUACCGAUUGGGUGGUCCGGUGAGGCUUUGGGAUCUGAGCGGAAAGAGCGUUUCGCUGUUUCUGCUCGGAAAACUCAGUCGAACCUUAUCAUUUAGAGGAAGGAGAAGUCGUAACA
rnacentral:rRNA from 1 species